rnacentral:rRNA from 1 species
UACAGAGGUCUCAAGCGUUGUUCGGAUUCAUUGGGCGUAAAGGGUGUGUAGGUGGCGCGCUAAGUCGGGUGUGAAAUUUCGGAGCUUAACUCCGAAACUGCAUUCGAUACUGGCGUGCUUGAGGACUGGAGAGGAGACUGGAAUUUACGGUGUAGCAGUGAAAUGCGUAGAUAUCGUAAGGAAGACCAGUGGCGAAGGCGGGUCGUCUGGACAGUUCCUGACACUGAGACACGAAGGCCAGGGGAGCAAACGGG